UACGUAGGGUGCAAGCGUUGUCCGGAAUUACUGGGCGUAAAGGGCUCGUAGGCGGCCAACUAAGUCAGACGUGAAAUCCCUCGGCUUAACCGGGGAACUGCGUCUGAUACUGGAUAGCUAGAGUUCGGCAGAGGGAAGCGGAAUUUCGGGUGUAGCGGUGAAAUGCGUAGAUAUCCGAAGGAACAUCAGUGGCGAAAGCGGCUUCCUGGACCAGAACUGACGAUCGAGGCACGAAAGCGUGGG
rnacentral:rRNA from 1 species